UGGGGGCAGGGAGGGGACAUUUGUUUUAGGGAGUGCGGGGCGGAUCUUGGUAGAAUAGUAGAAUCAAGCUUGUUCUGUAUUUUAGGGUUAGUGGCCAAAAUUUGGCAAGAUCCAGAUCCAGGUUUUUAAUGUAGGGGUGCAUUGUGGUGCAUUGGCUUCUCUGGUCUUUCCGUGCAACAAGAACAACUAAGCGUGUUCCCUGUCUGUAAUUUACACGUUGGAGGGCCAAAACAUGGCAUGAUGUGGCAAGAUCCCAAGUGCCCAAUCUGGGUAUUUGCUGCUCUGUUGCGUCAGGAUGCGGCCCUGUCGAGACUGCUGUUGGUACAGGCAGAGUGCCUACACUUGUUCUGUACUUACGGGGUAGAAGUGCUGGGGGCACAUUUGCUGGAUCUAACAAGAUCCAGAUGGUGGAUCCGGGAUUUUGCAGGGCUGUUGUGACGGGAUGCCUCAGAGUGCGUGGGCGGGUGUGAAGUAGGAGAAAUUACGCAGAGGAAAAGGAGGGUCUGGAGCCAAAAAUGGUUUUAGGCUAGCAGGUAAGAGAGCCACGUGCAGCCUUGCACUAGAUGGAACUCACUCGCUGGAGGACCAGGCCAUGUGUAGAUGACUCAUUUCAACCCACUGACGCUAUGUGGAGCUACAGACAGGAAAACUUCACCCCUUAAAGCGGCAAGAGUGUAGAGCAGGAAUGCUCUAGCCAUCAAUGGCCAGAAGGAUAUUCAUUUGUGAGAAAAAUGGAAAACCAAAAUGUGGAAAAUGGGAGACACAUGAAGUUCCUGCCAGUUCUUUAGCACAGCUAUAGGUUCAAGUAUUCCUGCAAUUGUCUUCCAACAUCAAAUAAUUGGUUCAUGGACGCCCAUUAUUGCCUUCCAGCAUAAAAAUACUCCUAUCUAAUCUCUGUCUA